rnacentral:rRNA from 1 species
GAACGAGGGAGUAUUCCGAAAGGGGUACAAACCGAGUGGCGUAAGGGUGAGUAAUGCAUUGAUAACCUACCUUUGAGAUGGGAACAACAGCGUUCCAAGCAAUUGGAGCUACCGAAAGGGCUGCUAAUACCCAAUAAUACUAUUAUUGCUUUGGUGGUGAUAGUCAAACAUGCGGAAUCGAAAGGUUCCAUUUGCUCAAAGAGGGGUCAAUGUCCUAUCAGCUUGUUGGUGGGGUAACGGCCUACCAAGGCGAAGACGGGUAGCCGGCCUGAGAGGGUGGUCGGCCACAUUGGGACUGAGACACUGCCCAGACUCCUACGGGAGGCUGCAGUCGAGAAUCUUUCGCAAUA